GGCGAACGCUGGCGGCGUGCUUAACACAUGCAAGUCGAACGGUAAGGCCCUUCGGGGUACACGAGUGGCGAACGGGUGAGUAACACGUGGGUGAUCUGCCAUGCACUUCGGGAUAAGCCUGGGAAACUGGGUCUAAUACCGGAUAGGACCCUGGGAUGCAUGUCCUGGGGUGGGAAGCUUUUGCGGUGUGGGAUGGGCCCGCGGCCUAUCAGCUUGUUGGUGGGGUGAUGGCCUACCAAGGCGACGACGGGUAGCCGGCCUGAGAGGGUGACCGGCCACACUGGGACUGAGAUACGGCCCAGACUCCUACGGGAGGCAGCAGUGGGGAAUAUUGCACAAUGGGCGCAAGCCUGAUGCAGCGACGCCGCGUGAGGGAUGACGGCCUUCGGGUUGUAAACCUCUUUCAGCACCGACGAAGCGCAAGUGACGGUAGGUGCAGAAGAAGGACCGGCCAACUACGUGCCAGCCGCCGCCGUAA
rnacentral:rRNA from 1 species